UGGGGAAUCUUGGACAAUGGGGGAAACCCUGAUCCAGCCAUCCCGCGUGUGCGAUGAAGGCCUUCGGGUUGUAAAGCACUUUUGGCAGGAAAGAAACGUCAUGGGUUAAUACCCCGUGAAACUGACGGUACCUGCAGAAUAAGCACCGGCUAACUACGUGCCAGCAGCCGCGGUAAUACGUAGGGUGCAAGCGUUAAUCGGAAUUACUGGGCGUAAAGCGUGCGCAGGCGGUUCGGAAAGAAAGAUGUGAAAUCCCAGAGCUCAACUUUGGAACUGCAUUUUUAACUGCCGGGCUAGAGUGUGUCAGAGGGGGGUGGAAUUCCGCGUGUAGCAGUGAAAUGCGUAGAUAUGCGGAGGAACACCGAUGGCGAAGGCAGCCUCCUGGGAUAACACUGACGCUCAUGCACGAAAGCGUGGGGAGCAAACAGG
rnacentral:rRNA from 1 species